rnacentral:rRNA from 1 species
CCUACGGGAGGCAGCAGUGGGGAAUAUUGGGCAAUGGGCGCAAGCCUGACCCAGCAACGCCGCGUGAAGGAAGAAGGCUUUCGGGUUGUAAACUUCUUUUCUCAGGGACGAAGCAAGUGACGGUACCUGAGGAAUAAGCCACGGCUAACUACGUGCCAGCAGCCGCGGUAAUACGGAGGUGGCAAGCGUUAUCCGGAUUUACUGGGUGUAAAGGGCGUGUAGGCGGGACUGUAAGUCAGAUGUGAAAACCAUGGGCUUAACCUAUGGCCUGGAUUUGAUACUGUAGUUCUUGAGGACUGGAGAGGCAGACGGAAUGCGUAGUGUAGCGGUGAAAUGCGUAGAUAUUAGGAGGAACACCAGUGGCGAAGGCGGCUUGCUGGACAGCAACUGACGCUGAGGCGCGAAAGCGUGGGGAGCAAACAGGAUUAGAUACCCGUGUAGUC